CCAAGAUUGCUGACUCUGAUGGCCUCGAGUGGUUCUCUAUCAUCACUACCCCCAAUCCUGUAUUUACUCACCUGGCUGGAAGUAUUGGGGCAUGGAAGGCUCUUUCACCAUCGGUUCUGCAGGCAGCUUUCAAUGUGGAUGAAGAACUUGAGAAACUCUUUCGUUCAAAGAGGAAUGCAGAUGCCAUUUUCUUCCCUCCUCCAAAUUGAAGUGGCACAAAACUAGCAUUAUGUUAUAUUUAUAUGGUUGAACCUGUUUGAAUUAGUUUUAGCUUUUGAAUGGACUAGCAUUAUGUUAUACAUAUUUUGUUCGAUUUACCUUUAUUGAAUAACGUUUUACCUUUCUUUUUUA